GAUGAACGCUGGCGGCGUGCCUAAUACAUGCAAGUCGAGCGAACAGACGAGGAGCUUGCUCCUCUGACGUUAGCGGCGGACGGGUGAGUAACACGUGGAUAACCUACCUAUAAGACUGGGAUAACUUCGGGAAACCGGAGCUAAUACCGGAUAAUAUAUUGAACCGCAUGGUUCAAUAGUGAAAGACGGUUUUGCUGUCAUUUAUAGAUGGAUCCGCGCCGCAUUAGCUAGUUGGUAAGGUAACGGCUUACCAAGGCAACGAUGCGUAGCCGACCUGAGAGGGUGAUCGGCCACACUGGAACUGAGACACGGUCCAGACUCCUACGGGAGGCAGCAGUAGGGAAUCUUCCGCAAUGGGCGAAAGCUUGACGGAGCAACGCCGCGGGAGGGAUGAAGGUCUUCGGAUCGUAAAACUCUGUUAUUAGGGAAGAACAAAUGUGUAAGUAACUAUGCACGUCUUGACGGUACCUAAUCAGAAAGCCACGGCUAACUACGUG
rnacentral:rRNA from 1 species